AUUGAACGCUGGCGGCAUGCCUUACACAUGCAAGUCGAACGGCAGCACGGGGGCAACCCUGGUGGCGAGUGGCGAACGGGUGAGUAAUGCAUCGGAAUGUACCCAGUAGUGGGGGAUAACUAGUCGAAAGACUGGCUAAUACCGCAUACGCACUACGGUGGAAAGCGGGGGAUCGCAAGACCUCGAGCCAUUGGAGGAGCCGAUGUCGGAUUAGAUAGUUGGUGGGGUAAAGGCCUACCAAGCCUGCGAUCGGUAACUGGUCUGAGAGGACGACCAGACACACGGGGACUGAGAAACGGCCCAGACUCCUACGGGAGGCAGCAGUGGGGAAUUUUGGACAAUGGGCGCAAGCCUGAUCCAGCAAUGCCGCGUGUGUGAAGAAGGCCUUCGGGUUGUAAAGCACUUUUGGCGGGAACGAAACGGCGCUUGCUAAUACCAGGCGCGAAUGACGGUACCCGCAGAAUAAGCACCGGCUAACUACGUGCCAGCAGCCGCCGUAAAAC
rnacentral:rRNA from 1 species